rfam:Acyrthosiphon pisum strain LSR1 Contig13239, whole genome shotgun sequence.
AAAACGGCCGUUCUCACGGCCACUAAUUCAAUACGUACGACAAUAU